rnacentral:rRNA from 1 species
AGAUGCGAGAGUAGAGCAUAUCAAUAAGCGGAGGAAAAGAAACUAACAAGGAUUCCCUUAGUAACGGCGAGUGAAGCGGGAAGAGCUCAAAUUUGAAAUCUUCAAGGGUUUACCUUUACGAAUUGUAGUUUAAAGAAGUGUUUUCUGUUGGAGUUUCGGUAAAAGUUCUUUGGAAUAGGACAUCAUAGAGGGUGAGAAUCCCGUAUUUGACCAUUAUUUUCAACUGUGUGAUACACUUUCAAAGAGUCGGAUUGUUUGGGAAUGCAGUCCAAAAUGGGUGGUAAAUUUCAUCUAAAGCUAAAUAUUGGCGAGAGACCGAUAGCGAACAAGUACCGUGAGGGAAAGAUGAAAAGAACUUUGAAAAGAGAGUUAAACAGUACGUGAAAUUGUCAAAAGGGAAGCGUUUGACACCAGUGUUGUUUUUCCGAAAAUCAAUUACGAAUGUUUUAUUUUUGAGGAGUUAUGACUUCAUCGGCUUGCUCCUUUCUUUAUGAAACUUUCUUAAUGCACUUUUCGGUUAACAAGUCAACAUCAAUUUCUUUUGUUGUAAAAGGGUCAUUGAGGAAGGUGGCUUUCAUUUCGGAUGAAAGUGUUUAUAGCCUUGUACCUCUGCAAUCGGAGAGAUUGAGGUCUGCAGCGUAGAUCCUUCGGGGUUAGAUACAUUUGUGCUAAGUUAUAGCUUUUCAUAGACAACUUGUUGACUAUGAUUAGUCAUUGUAGCUUACUCGCUAUGCUCUAUUUUACCUACGCUUAGGAUGUUGACGAGACUGUCGAUCUC